UACGGGGGGGGCAAGCGUUGUCCGGAAUUACUGGGCAUAAAGGGCUCGUAGGUGGCCAACUAAGUCGGACGUGAAAUCCCUCGGCUUAACCGGGGAACUGCGUCCGAUACUGGUUGGCUUGAGUUUGGGAGAGGGAUGCGGAAUUCCAGGUGUAGCGGUGAAAUGCGUAGAUAUCCGGAAGAACACCGGUGGCGAAGGCGGCCUGCUGGGCAGUAGCUGACGCUGAUGCGCGACAGCGUGGGGAGCAAACAGG
rnacentral:rRNA from 1 species